rnacentral:misc_RNA from 1 species
GAAAUGCGAUACGUAGUGUGAAUUGCAGAAUUCCGUGAAUCAUCGAAUCUUUGAACGCAUAUUGCGGUCGAGGCUUCGGCCAAGACCAUGUCUGCCUCAGCGUCGGAGUAACCCCUCACCCCCCUCCCAAUGGGUUGGCGGGGUGGACUUGGCCUCCCCAGCUCUCGAGCUGGGUUGGCUGAAAUGUAGAGGUACGGCACGGACCUGUAUGGCACCAGCAAGGUAGGUAGCUCGUCUACUCCAGCUGAUGCUUUGGGCCCGCCCGCCGCACCCGCAGGAACCACUCUUUAUCGACCUGAGAUCAGGCAAGGCUACCCGCUGAACUUAA